GAGAAUUGAGUUGCAAUGCAUGUUGAUAUUCUNUGAACUAGAUGUGUGAUGAAUUAUGAUUGUGGUUUUGAUGCUAAGCAGGAUGCAUGAUUGAAUUUUGUGUGAGGGAGCAUGUGUGUGAGAUUUUGAGCUCCAGAGUUUUUAUUGUUGUAUGCAUUGUUCACAGGAAAACAUGAAUGAUAUUGCCUUAAUCUUGAUGAUUGAUUGAAUUACAUGUGAAUGUCAUAUGAUCAAGGCCAUUUUUGAACCCUUCUAUAGCCAAAUUUUCACCCAAAAUGCUUGAAAUAUUAUACCCUUUUUGAACCUUAGCCUUAAACAGGAUGUGAAC
rnacentral:lncRNA from 1 species